GAAGGAAAAAAAGUUCCUCCUAGAACCCUACAAUUACCCCACAUGUGGGGUUUGCAGGAAACCAUGGUAAUCCUAGGAACCUCCCAACCAUCUUCCACACCUCCACAUUUAUACCCAUUUGGGAUGCCUCAGGGCGGCAGUGUCAAACACAGCCUACACCACUGUGACUCAGACCUCCCACAGAUACCAUCUGGACUUUUCGGCUGCACGAUCCCCUACACUCUCCCUAUGGUCUUCUCUCAGGGCUUGGCAGACAGCACAGCUCUGCAACUGCCCAGUCAUAUAGCGGAAGGAUGGACAUGCAUCCCAAAAUACACAGCAAAUACAGGAAAAAAAUAUGUGUAAAAGAGGAAGUGAAGAUAUAGCGGCAUGCAACACUCAAAACAACCUUCAAAGCUGCAGUCUGUGUCCUUCCACUCCUUGUAACGAUAUCCACAGGGCUUUUAAGGAUAAGCCUCUGGAGACUGCUCUGAACUUCUGCUAUGGUUACACAGUGACUACUUCAGCUUCUAACAAAACCCCACAAAUCUCUACAUGUAGUAAGUUGCAACAUUUGCUUCUAGAGCCUUUCUUCUCUCAAAAAGGCCAGGAAUUUAAAUCAAUUUUAAUACAGAGCAGAGCUGUUUGUCAGCUGGUUCCUUCCCCCCCCCCCCCCCCCAUAUUAUUCUCCUGUCCCUCCUAUGUACAAUAUACUAUUAUUUUAUCUCCCUAAUUAGGGGAUGAAGCUCCAAGAUUUGAAAUACAUUUUAGUGAUGCUGGAAAAAGCUAGUAAAACAUUCCAUAUGAAAUGCUUUGCUGCUUGCAGGAGACAACAUGGUCUGUAGCUGUAGCAUCCCAAGUAUCGCUUGCAGUUUCUGUACCACAAGGUGGCACUGAAGAUUUACGCAGGGAAUUGCAGCCUGCACAUUCUCUUACAGGCAAUAAAGUAUGACAUCCAUCACCUCCCCGAGGGAGCUAGAGGAAGAAAUGGUGCUCCAGAGAAAGCAAGAGGGAAUCUUUCGGUUCACAGCAGCAGCCUGAGCCUGCUGGGGAUCACAAUAUGGGCAGCAGCUCACACGGAAGGCAGCACAAGAGAUAACACUGCAUAAACCUUUCUCCUUUGAACAGGCAGACUACCAUCCUCCUCCUGAAAAUGCCUCUACAGCUGCAUGUGGAAGAGGUGUGUGUGAAACCAGACUGGUGCCCUCUUCACGAGCCCUCCAUAACACUACACCAACACCAACUGCCUGAAGAAAGUCAGCAUGCACAAAUUACAAGUAUCAGGCUUUCCCCUGCCAUUCUCAAUAGUGCUAUAGAGGGAAGUUCUGUCAAAGAGUUGAUCGUCCCAAUACCGUUAGAUUAAUUCUCAAACAUUUACAGUUCUUCAGAUGAAUGGGAGCACGUCAGCUCAGAAAAAUCAAGGGUGAAGUUUGCUCAGUGAAGAUAACAAAAGCUCUAAAACACAUACACUGCCUCCCCCCUUCUCCUCAUACCCUUUUUUCCAUUCCCUUUAAUCUUCUAUCUGUGACUCUCGGUAAAGCAUAUUCCAUGUCGCAAAGGUAUUCUAAUCAGUCCCAACUCAGAAAUCAGCAAAACGCACAACCAAAAGCAAGGGGAGCUGUGAAGGAAGCAGACCUGGCUGUAUCCCGAUUCUGCCGCACUUCCCAUAAAUAUUGAAUGCACCUUUCGGCAAGCCAGCGCACCGGAGACUGAGUGGUGCAACACAGACCGUCAGCUCCUGCACGCUGCGAUGCAACCUGACAGCUGUGAUUUAUAAUUCAUUAGCCUACUUUGGGGCAGCUCCUGCCAGAUGCUCCAUCUCCCCCCCACCGUCUCUUUCUCUGGGAUGACUUCUGCCUCCUCUAAACAGCAAUCAGCAAAAUCUGGGCCGACAGGAGGGCAGCAAGAACUGCUUCGUGGGCCUCACUUUGAACAGACCACACAAACUUUGUGCACAACUACUGUGCCAAGGAAAGGACUGCUCCACCGGGCUCAUAAGUCACCCCAACCUAUGGGAUGGCUAAGGAAAAAAUGGAUUACAGUGCCCCUGCGUUGAGAGAAAAACACAGCAAGAACGUUACAUACAGCUCUGAUCUUGUCACCUAUUUAAUUUAAGCCAACAAACACUGAAAGUUUCGCAUAGACUCCCACAGUAGUAUCAAUUUUACAUCACCUUUAUAAAUGCAUCAAGUUGCAUGACAUACUGCUAAUAUAUGGCUCCAGAAAUGUUUCUUCAGGCCCUUCUGGAUCAUCCCUGGUGGGCAGAUUACAGAUGAGAGUUCCCGAUACCAUCAGAAUUUGCAACUUGUGAGCCCAGAAUCAAAGACUGCUGGUUACAAGCGAAGUAAAAAGCAGAACGAUGAAAUGAGUGCUUGCCUUGCUCACCCUGGAAGGCAAUAUCAACAAGGCUUCACGGCAGCAGUACCAGCAUUGCAGCCGACUAGUGUGACAUUCUGUACGUAAAAUGUGUUUUCCGAAAUGGCAAAGCCAGCAGGAGCAGCUCUCCCCUGCACUGAACACAGUGCGUUGAUAGCUGUGGUGCUUUAAAACUAAUGCUACACAUACAAUAGGCACUGAAGCUGCCUUGAAGUUAUCCUGUGCUGUGAAGCUUGUAAAUGAAGAGGAGCGUGACCGCUGCCUCCACACCGCCAGGCUGGGAAGAAAGGACAGAACAGGAGGCACCUUCACCACUUUUAAUCCCUAUGGAGGCCGUCCUGUACAACAGCAAGUCUCACAUUUCUGACCAGAGAACAGCUAUGCUAAGCCAUUAUUUGUGCUCUGCUAACAGCUCCAGGCAAUUUUGUGUCUCCCCUGUAAUUAUCUUCCUGUUGCAUUUUCCUCUCAAGGAAAAUUCCUGAAGGCCGGAUCUGAUUUUUGAAGCCAGCCUUUAGGAGAUGCAGUCUACAGGAGAAGGGUUAGGUAGGGUCACAGUGGCAGCUGCCUGUGCCUGCUGUUGCUAGCAGCAGUCCUCCUGACCCACUCUCUCAGUGCACAGGCAGUGUGGGAGCAGAAGGCACGGAAGGGAACUAUCCUAAAAGCUUUAUUUUUGUAAAGUCUGUUUUUCCUAGAAAGGAAAGUCGAAUUGCCUACUAAAGACAGCUUUAGCUGCUAGAAUCCACUCAUUGCUUCUGCAACCAUGGAGACUUACUAUUCAUUUCAAAGCUCAGCAGAAAUGUGAAAAUGGCAUUAUGCACUUGCCAAAAGGCAGCAAGAAGAUCUGCAGGGUAAAGAGCAAUCAGGAAAAAAAAUCCUAGUUUACAAAAUGAAAUCCUCACCUUGAGUAGUUUUUCCCAGCUAUUCUUCAUUUCUACUCAAGCAUUCUCUAGCCAGCUUGCUUUUUACAGAUAUACCCAGAUGAGACUGCCUGUGUGUUCAGUCACCAGAGGAGGUUGAACUAUAAGGCCUGUGACGUCAAAGAGGAAGCAUAUUCUUCUGGCCAGGUUUUCUUACCCACUAGAAGUUUUGUUUUCCUAAGGCAAAGGGAUGUAUCUGCAUACCAGCUAUAUUUCUGUUAUAUACACCGCUGGUACUGGUGAAAGCAGGCUGACUUGAUCAUGAGUUUUCAGUAAAGAGCUCAUAGCCAUCCCAACUGCUCUCCAUGCAAAGUUUUCUGCUCGUCAAGAGCCCAACAAAACAACACAGGAAAACACAGCUCCUCAACACCGACAACAGCUCAACACAAAUCUCGAGAGCGCCUCUUUGGACAAGCUCUGUCCUGCAGCGCCCAUUCAGCCCAAGUAAUAACAGUGCAGCCACCACAUUCCCCACAUGAGGUUUUGUCCUGGCCUUACUUCUCAGAUAGGAAAGGAUGGUGAUGGUGGUGUCAGUCCUCUGGUUCAUUCAGCUCUGGGCUUCUAAGAUGAGAGUGAAUCAGUGAGGCCAAUUAGGAGGCUACGUGUAACAAGAAGGCUUGCAGUUUAUAUCUGAGCAGCUAAGUUGCAGCGUCCAGCCUGAGAAACUUGGCUGGACUGGAGGUAAAAGGCUCCAUUAUCCAUCCCUUGUGGUCAGCAGUUCUUUCAGAUGAAGUGAAUGUCUCUUCUCAAUGCAGCUUUCCAGUAAGAGAAUCUGGAGAAAGCUCUUCCCGUUGUUUAGACAGAUUGUCUUUUUAUUUAAUUUUAUUCAAUAAGUCAUCUGAUAAUAACAUAAUAUCAAUGAAAACGAAUGAGACUAGAAGAUGGCCUCCUGCUUUGAAAAUAAACAUCUUGACUGCACCAAGCCUUUUUACUAGCAGCAGGAGCUGAUUAUACAGCCACUGUUCAACUCCAUUGGCUUUAUCUCAAUUAAUGAAUACAGGGCGAGUUAGGCACAUAUAUAUCAUGCUCUUCUGCAAAAUGAUUUAAGCGUCUCCUCCAGGAAACCUGUAUUAAGGCUCUCUGCCCAAUCCCAGAAUGCCCCCCCCCCUUUUUUUUUUUUUUAAACGCAGCACAUUUUCUCUACAAAACAAGGACAUCUACUUGCCAGCUAAAAACAUUACAACAAUAAUGAUGCAUUUAAUGAGAUUAUUCUCAGCUCCAUUAAUUCUAUUUAGAUUGGCAAACAGCAAUUAAUACAUAAACAGAAAUAUUAACAUACCAGUUGCCCAGUAUCCAAUGCUGUUAUUUUUUUCUGGGAAAAAUACUAUGAACAACAGCAAAAAAGCAUUGCAAAUAAGCAAACCUGGGCCACCCGGUGCUAGUCUGAAUGCCAGAGCAUAGGGCUGGGAAUAUUACAACCCAUCAUAUCUAAAAACAACAACUAAAAGUAGUGAUUAAAGGGAAAAGUUGACCCAGCACUAUAAAGCUUCUGGUUGUUUUACAUUUAAGAUUGCUUGUUGGUUCUUAAAUGUCCUUAAAAGCAGAUGACAGCCCCCAGCCCAGUAUCUUAUACCCCAGCACUGGUCAAAAGCAGACACCUAGAAAAGAAUAAAAAAAAAAAAAAAAAAGACUGCUUUCAGUCCAGUUUCAGCUCAAGUGAUUUCCAAGGUAAACAUGAUUUCUACAUUCUUCUUCCAUGGACUGUGAGCCCCUCCUUCAACUCGCACCAUCUCUCAGCGAUCUGUUUUCUGAACUGAAAAAUUCACAGCAGGAUGCGCUCUGGUGAAACUAGCUGGAACAAUCUUAAAAUGCUCCUGCCUCAUCUGUCUAUCCUGCAUCAAAGCAGAGUGUGUGAAGAGCCCGUGCACUAGAUCUGGGAGCCUUCAAGCAGCUUCCCCCAGGAGGACAGCCCUGGGUCUGGCUCACAGCCGCCUGCCCUGCCUCCUCAAGCCUGCCCCGUCACAGACACAGCUCAACUCAUCACAAAGCAAUUGCCACAGUUCACAGCCAAGCGUAUUAAGGGAUACCAACACUUUUUUCAGACUUAUAAAGAUGUUUUUAAAGAACUGCUAUUGGGAUUAAAGCCUCAUUGAACAGUUCCACACCACAGUGCUGAUAUUGUGGUCUUCCUUCCUGCUCAGGUGCACAGGACGCUCCCGACGCGGGGAGCCAAGGCUUUUUUCUAUCGCUUCCUGACCAUAAACUUCAGCAGAGCAGUGGAAAUUCACAUGGGAAGGCAGAAUGUUUGAUCACCUCCCCACCAGCUGCCUAGUGUGAUGGCAGGCUCAGAAGCAAGGCUGAUUUCCUUCUGUAGAGAAGGAAAGGUGCUUGUGAACGCAGAACGGCUGCUGAACAGCAGGGAGCUGACACACCAGCAGCCCACGGAGGAGGCCGGCCUUCCAGCUCAGGCCUGUGACAACACCUGCUCUUCCUCCUCUUCAGCGUCUCACUCAGCCCCAUUCACUGUUAUUUAUGGAGCCUUAGCAACUGUUGGAGCUGGCGGAGCUGCCAGAACAGAGCCUUAUUUCACGCUGGGGAGCUGACUGUCCCUGCCGGGGGAAGCAGGAGGAGGGAGGGGAGUGCCAGGCCCAGCCACUGGCAGCCUCCAUGUGCGUGCAUGAUACUGAGGAGCAAAAACCUGCAGGAGCCGACAAGAACAAGUGAAAUGGAAAAGUUGCAUGGAAGGGUGUUCCUUCAGCUGCUCAGGGUCAAUCAAAUUGUUCCCAAAUGUUCUGAUUUGGGUUACCAAGUUAAUACAGUACACAGCUGGCAUUAGUGUCCCAUAUUUCCCCUUGGCCUCCCUAGCCUGUUCACCUCCUCGAACAACACGGAGGCUAGCUGGCACCUGAAGCCACUUCGCCGUCACCCUCACAACCAAGGGAGGAUUUUCAUCCUGUGCAGUGUUAAACACUCAUUCACUUCCCUUAUUGCAUUUCUUUGUUACAAAGACCCAUCUGUUGUGAGCUGCCAGGCUCUCUCCUCUUCCCUCCAGGAAAUCAAUAAAUAAGGCUCUCC